GAUGAACGCUGGCGGCGUGCUUAACACAUGCAAGUCGAACGAAGCACUUUAUUUGAUUUCCUUCGGGAUUGAUUAUUUUGUGACUGAGUGGCGGACGGGUGAGUAACGCGUGGGUAACCUGCCUUGUACAGGGGGAUAACAGUUGGAAACGGCUGCUAAUACCGCAUAAGCGCACAGCAUCGCAUGAUGCAGUGUGAAAAACUCCGGUGGUAUAAGAUGGACCCGCGUUGGAUUAGCUAGUUGGUGAGGUAACGGCCCACCAAGGCGACGAUCCAUAGCCGACCUGAGAGGGUGACCGGCCACAUUGGGACUGAGACACGGCCCAAACUCCUACGGGAGGCAGCAGUGGGGAAUAUUGCACAAUGGGCGAAAGCCUGAUGCAGCGACGCCGCGUGAGCGAAGAAGUAUUUCGGUAUGUAAAGCUCUAUCAGCAGGGAAGAUAAUGACGGUACCUGACUAAGAAGCAC
rnacentral:rRNA from 1 species